rnacentral:lncRNA from 1 species
GGUGCUCAGGAGCCGGGGGCGGGAACAGGCCUAGAAGGGCCGGUCUGAGCAGCAGGGGGGACGGACACCGGGUCAGCACCAACCUUCGCGAUGCUGGCAACAGGCGGAAACAAAAGCAAACCCAGGGGAUAAACCCGUGGCUUCUUUUUCUUUCUUUCUUUUUUUUAAAUGAUUUUAUUUAUUUGAGAGAGAGAGAGAGAGAGAGCAAGGGGAGGGACGGGGUAGGUGAGAGGCAGACGCCCUGCGGAGAGGGAGCCUGAUGCAGGACUCGAUCCCAGGACCCCCGAGAUCACGACCUGAGCAGAAGGCAGGCGCUUUGCCGACAGAGCCCCCCAGGCCCCCACACCAUGUUUUUCUUUUUUUAAUGUUUCUCAGUGGGUUGAGCAUGUGACUUGAUUUCGGCUCCGGUCAUGAUCUCAGGGUCGUGAGGUCGAGUCCCCACGUUGGGUUCCAUGUGGGCUCCACACCGAGCAUGGAGCUUGCUGGAGACUCUCCCCUUACUGCUCCCCACCCCCCUGCAUCUAGCUCUCUUAAAUAAAUAAAUAAAUAAAUAAAUAAAUAAAUAAAUAAUAAAGAUAAUAAAUGUUUCCUUUUUUUUAGGCAAGAAUGAGGCAUUUCUGCUCCUUUCUGGUGUGGACUGUGGGGUGUCCUGCAUGGCUAGUCCUGUGGGUUGGGCAGCGCGGUGGGGAAGGGCUGUGAGCGACCAGGACCUCGCGGCCCCGUGGCCUGUUCACGCAGAGCCUGGACCAAGCCCGGGACAGCGGGCCCUGUGCCUCAGUUGCCCCAUCCACCCGGAGCUACCUGGCCACAGCUCUGGGUGACACUCCCGGUGAAACCACGGUGAUCCCCGAUGACCUACUGUUUCCUGAGCACGCAAGCAAGUGGACUCUGAGUCAUGCCGGGGUCACCAUGCCCUCGGUUUCGUGAAAGGCCUGCAGCCAUCGUGCGGGGACCGUGCGGGGACCGUGGCCAGCCCCACCCUCUCCUCCGCAGGGCAGGUGCCGGCCACGCUCCCACCCUCCGCGGACAAGCCCACGGCCAGGCCUCGUCGUGGUGCGGGAAAGCUCUGGGGUUGGUCUGCGACUCGGCCUCUGCGCCUGGAGGAGCCCAGGCCCCUGAGGUACGACGGAGCCCGUGUGUAACGUUACGUGAAGUACGAAAUAUUAAUCUCCACAAGAUGUUCUAUUUAAUCCAAAGAGCCGCAAGGUCUCACGCCCACGCGGCAUCUGACGAGACCCUCUCCUCUUCUGCGUCUUCAGACUCCCGCGUGUGGCACCGCGCAGCACGCCGCGCCUCACCCACUAAGGUGUUACCAGGAAUCGUUGACUGGACUUAAACCCCAUAAAGUUCACAGUCCAAAGAGGACGUUCACGCACCUAACUUAGUCCAAACAUCCUUAAAAGUCUUCAGUAACCGAACAAAGUGUC